ACCGUGGAAUGGCUCGGCAGACUGCCAAUCUUGAACCCGGCAGGGGUCGUCGGAACGGUAGGUGGAGCGGUGAAAUGUGUAGAUAUCUACCGGAACGCCAAUGGCGAAGGCAGGCGACUGGGCCGGCGUUGACGCUCAGGCACGAAAGCGUGGGGAGCGAACGGGAUUAGAUACCCCGGUAGUCCACGCCGUAAACGAUGUGCACUAGAUGGGGGAGGUUUUGACGCCAUCCCCGCCGAAGCCAAAGUGUUAAGUGCACCGCCUGGGGAGUACGGUCGCAAGACUAAAACUCAAAGGAAUUGACGGGGGCUCACACAAGCGGUGGAGCAUGUGGCUUAAUUCGAAGCAACGCGAAGAACCUUAUCCUGGGUUUGACAUGCACGGAUUAGCUUCCUGAAAGGGAAGUAACACGGUCUCCGUGGAACGUGCACAGGUGCUGCAUGGCUGUCGUCAGCUCGUGCUGUGAAGUGUCGGGUUAAGUCCCUUAACGAGCGAAACCCUAUCGUUAGUUGCCAUCAGGUCAUGCUGGGGACUCUAACGAGACUGCCGGUGUCAAACCGGAGGAAGGUGGGGAUGACGUCAAGUCCUCAUGGCCUUUAUGCCCAGGGCUGCACACGUGCUACAAUGCGGCGGACAGAGCGACGCGAUACGGUAACGUGGAGCAAAUCGCACAAACCGCCGCCCAGUUCGGAUUGUGGUCUGCAACUC
rnacentral:rRNA from 1 species